AGUGAACGCUGGCGGUAGGCCUAACACAUGCAAGUCGAACGGCAGCACAGGAGAGCUUGCUCUCUGGGUGGCGAGUGGCGGACGGGUGAGGAAUACAUCGGAAUCUACUUUUUCGUGGGGGAUAACGUAGGGAAACUUACGCUAAUACCGCAUACGACCUACGGGUGAAAGCAGGGGAUCUUCGGACCUUGCGCGAUUGAAUGAGCCGAUGUCGGAUUAGCUAGUUGGCGGGGUAAAGGCCCACCAAGGCGACGAUCCGGAGCUGGUCUGAGAGGAUGAUCAGCCACACUGGAACUGAGACACGGUCCAGACUCCUACGGGAGGCAGCAGUGGGGAAUAUUGGACAAUGGGCGCAAGCCUGAUCCAGCCAUACCGCGUGGGUGAAGAAGGCCUUCGGGUUGUAAAGCCCUUUCGUUGGGAGAGAAAUCCAGCUGGUUAAUACCCGGUUGGGAUGACGGUACCCAAAGAAUAAGCACCGGCUAACUUCGUGCCAGCAGCCGCAGUAA
rnacentral:rRNA from 1 species